rnacentral:misc_RNA from 1 species
GAUGUGGUUCUCCUGAAAUAGCUAAUCGCAAACUUAAAUUUUCAAGGUUAAAAUCUUGUUCCUCAUGGCUCAAUGAGGUUUUGAAUCCACACAAACCCAUUGUAUUUAUUAACACAGAUAUGUUGCCUGCUCAUGAGUCAAAAGAUUCCAAGACUGUCAAUAACCCAGUGGAAGCUUACAUUAUUGCAGAGGUCGCGAAGGAAUUAAUUAAAUGUGGAAUUGAAAGCGAAGAUAUUGGAAUCAUUACCCCCUGNNNNNNNNNNNNNUCUCAUCAGAACUGCUGUUUGCAUAAUCUCUGUGGAGAUAAAUACCAUUGACAAGUACCAGGGAAGAG